ACACGACUCUCGGCAACGGAUAUCUCGGCUCUCGCAUCGAUGAAGAACGUAGCGAAAUGCGAUACCUGGUGUGAAUUGCAGAAUCCCGUGAACCAUCGAGUCUUUGAACGCAAGUUGCGCCCGAGGCCACUCGGCCGAGGGCACGCCUGCCUGGGCGUCACGC
rnacentral:rRNA from 1 species